GGCUUCGUGGCUCAGCUGGUAGAGCGCUUGCCACGUUGAGGCAUGAUGUUUCUGUCGCUGAUUCGAAUCCAUCCGAAGCUC
rnacentral:tRNA from 1 species